CCGGCCCUUUGCUUCCUGCAGCUCCAGAUUUAAGCGGCGGUUCUCCUGUUGUGCCAUUUGGAGCUCAGCCUGAUGGGAGGUGGAAAAUAGGAGAGCGUGUGUACAAUGUCCUCUUUACAUUUUUUAUUGGCUUUGGUGCCCGGCACUCAAAAGGGCCUCAACGCAGUGGAAGAACAAUUGAGAAAGCAAACAGACUCUGAGCCCCUACCUCGCUCUGCUCCUUGUCGGCCUGUGCUUCUUUCAGUUGACCAAGAAGCUUCUCCUGUUCCCGAGUCAGGGCCUUCACGGUGUCUCUCACCCUGUACGUGGGGACAUGGAACAUCAGAUAACCCGGCUGGUCACCACAGAAGAUACGAAGGACGUGGGCUUUUGUCUUUAGCACUUUUUCUGGUGCCCCUCUGGGCCCACACCUCCUAUUGUCUCUGGGAUGCCCAAAUCCCCAGACCAAGGUGAUCUCGCUGGAAGCCCUGAGUAUCCAAGAUUCCUGGUUCUAGAGCACAGUCUAGAAAUAAACAGUUUGUUCUCUUUA